UUAUUAGCUUUCACUUAUUAGCUCUUGUUCAGUAAGUGCAAGGCACAUUCCAAUAACAUGAUCGCAGCAGGCAGCUCGGUACGUUCAUAAAAGGAGAGAAUCCAAAAUCAGAUUUCCCAUUCAUCUACCUUAUUCCCAAGCCUCGCUUGAAAACCCCGCACGCUCCCCCCACACCGACUCCAGACCUCUUAUAAAGCAACGUGCAGCACCGAUACCCAAGUGUUUCUAAUCUGCCGCAAGCUUGUUCCCCGUCCAAAUCAUUUCAUCGUUUCAUAAAACUUCUCCGGGCCUAAAAACUCAAGCCCUCCGAUCCAUAUUUGGACACCUCAACCUGGGCACCGAUUUUUCAGGACAGCCGAGCCGAUCUAUGGCAGUUCGAGUCCGUUUUGAAAAAUCAGGUCGUUGGCUGAGAUGUCCAAAUAUGGAUUUAGGAAGAGAGGUGCAGGCACCCACGCUGGAAAGCUGGGCCUUUAUAGGAUUAGAGCAUUAAAAAAAAUCAUAAUAAAAACAAGCCACAACUCUUGCCCCGUGGAUACCAAAAAAAACAAGGAAUACACAAAAAGGACACUUCUUCCUAGUCCAGGUAAACUUUAAGAACAGCACAGCAACCUUUUAUCUCCAUCCUCCCUUCAGUUUUGAAUUUGAAUGAGGGGGGGGAAACAUGAGAUCAGUGCCGUAAUUCCACACUGCGAAGCAAAAAAAAAGUAUCAGAGCCAAGUCCAAACAGCUCUUAGAAGGCAGCAGCUAAUGCCAUUAAACUGGAAGGAAAAAGAAAGGCUGUUUUGGGUUGUUGGGUUUUUUUGGGUUUGUUUGUUGUUUUUUUUAAACACACCAAGCUAACAGGGGUGAACACACUUUGUAGAGUUAAUGGAAAGUCAGAAUAACCGAUGUUAUCCUGCCCAAACUCCGCUCGACUUUGCCCUCUUCGUCCAAAUUAUUUUCGGACCCGUGGAGCCGCUCUCUGUACCACCCCGCGAGCGCUGCGCGUAGGGAACGGCCUCGCUCACUUUGGGCACGACUCUCCCUGGAGCCCCACGAGAGAGCAACGCCGAGCGAGCAAACCACCCGUCUUCUUUGCAAGCCAGAGGGGAAAAGGAUCACGGAGGAGAUCCGCCCAGACGAACGCAUCCUCCGCCGGCCAGCGGGCCCUUUCUCGGCAUCACCAGCCCUGCAAGCGUCUCCCAAAGUUGGGGCACCCAGUAACGACGGCGGGGCAGACGGGGAGAAGCCACUUGCCGGGGUGCAAGAACUAACCCCCGACUCCAGCGGGGGCACGUGCGACUCCUGGCAGGGCAAGGGGUGAAAACAAUGGAGAACAACACGAAGCGGGCGCCGGACCCUGCUCCAGCAUCACCUCUCCCCAAAGCAUCGCAUACACCCCGACGGGUCGCUGGACUCUGCAGUGGGGAUCGAGUCGUCGGAGCCGCUGUGUGGUUGGGUGAUCGAGUUACCGGAUCGAGUCUGUCGCUGCGAUCAGUUUAUGGGGUCAGGUGCGCCGUUGGGAUCAAGUUUUCAGAUCAAGUGUGUUUUUGAAUCGAGUGUGGACUUGGGAUCAAGUUAUUAGGUCAGGAGAGCCGUUGGGAUCAAGUGUUUUAAGCAAGUUUGUGGAUCAAGUUUUCAGAUCAGGUGUGUAGAUGGGUCAAGUUUUUGAGUGUGUACUUGGGAUCAAAUUAUUAGAUCAGGUGUGUAGUUCAGAACAAGUUUGGGGAUCAGCUGUGUAGCUGGGAUCAAGUUUGUACUCAGGAUCAAGUUUUUUAUGAGGUAUGUAGCUGAGAUCAAGUUAUCAGAUCAAGUGUGUAGUUGGGAUCAAGUUUUUUAAUCAAGUAUGUUGGGAUCAAGUUAUUAGACUAGGUGUGUAGUUCAGAUCAAAUUUGGGAUCCGCUGUGUAGCUGGGAUCAAGUUUUUUUGAUCAAGCGUGUAAUUGGGAUCAACUUUUUUUAUGAGCCACGUAGCUGGGAUCAAGUUGUGGGAUCAAGUGUGUACUUGGGAUCAAGUAAUAAAAGAUAUCAAAUUCACCCAAGGAACCUUGUCUACUUGGGAUCAAGUUUUUUAUGCCGUGUGUAGCUGAGAUCCAGUUAUCGGAUCAAGUGUGCACUUGGGAUCAAUUUUUUGAAUCAAGUGUGUUGGGCUCAAGUUAUUAGAUCAGGUGUAUAGUUCAGAUCAAGUUUUUGGAUCAGGUGUGUCAUUGGGAUCAAGUUAUCAGAUCAAAUGUACAGUUGGGGUCAAGUUAUUAGAUCAGGUGUAUAGUUGGGAUCAAGUUAUCGGAUCAAAUGUAUACUUGGGAUCAAGGUUUUGGAUCAAGUGGUUGGUUGGGAUCGAGUUACACCAGCUUUGGAAUGCAAGGCAUUCUUCUUCAGGUCUCUGAUUAUUAAAAGGGGGAUUAAACAGCAGAAGGCACGGCCUCGUUGGUCCAGCUCCAGCACGCGACACGACCGGGUGUUUCAACAGGUUGCACAGCCGUAGCACCCUUCUGGCAAAGACCACCUGGGCUAGGGACAAAAAUGACACAAAAACAGGUGAAAGGUGUGUGGAAGGCCUUUUAAACAGGCCUUGAUCUCCCAGGAAUCAGCUUCUUUUCUUCUGCUAGUUGUGUUUGCUACCUUUGGGAGUUGCUCUCACCUCCUCCCCACUGCUGUUUUUCACUGUAUACCAAUGACCAACCUAUACAGAGCAAUAUAAGGAGCUUCCUAUAUGCUGAUGAUCUACGCAUCACGUUGCAAGAGAAGGACUUUGCUGCUGUCAGGAAUGGACUGACAUGUGCACUGAGCAACCUCUCAGAUCAUUACAAUAAGAACCAGCUUUGCACCAACCCAGCCAAGAUGCAGGUCACAGCCUUUCACCUAUGCUAUAGAGAGGCCAAGUGGAAAUUAAAUGUCACCUGGGAUGGAAAUCUUAUUGACUAAUCACCCCAACCCUGUGUACUUGGGGGUGCUCUGAUGAGUCUUGCAUUAGAAAUCUUGUCUAACUUUAUCCCAACUAUGUAAUUGGUCCAAUAAAGGAUAUCACU